ACCUUAACUACAUUUACCAUGAUGCAUUUCCUUAAGGAGACAGCACCCAAUUCCUAAAUAACUAUCCCAAUUCCCUAUUAACUAUAACUGGCUGGACGGCACAGAUAUGACUGAAAAUCA